UCACCCAAAGUCUGUAGAGUAAUGAGGUCUCGUAAUAGAGGGGUUUUGGCAGCUCUUGGAAUAACAAUGAAAAAUAAAAAUGACAGAUAGGUGUCCGAAGCUCCUACACGAUGUUGUGUAGUUGUAUGUGUACGGUUGUUUUGGAGGCUGCUUCAGCUGCUCGUGUAAACAUGAUUUUGUUUCAAGACAUCCUACGGUUAAUUGUUGUAGAUUUUAUUUUAAAACGAAAUCUUUUAAUAGUGUGAUUAUCGUGUAAUACAAUGCGCAAUGGAAAUUUAUGGAAUAGUGCAUAUAUUCCCCACAUUUUAACGUUGCAACGACUGUCGCCAAAACUACGAGCGCUGAAAUUUGCUCAGUAAACAAUUCACCAAUACAUAGCCAAGGACGUCUAACUGUCAAAAUGAAAAUCCAAGAUGGCAAUGUCAACAAAGCCUAAUCCGCGACCUCAUUACUCUACAGACUUUGGUCUCACCCAUUUCCUACCUUGUUUGACCUAUACUUGGUGACGUGCACGGUGCUAAAGUAUAGCCUUCUCAAUCGUCAAAUAUGUCGCUAUCUCAUUCCACAUGCUGUAUGUACACGAACAGUACAUAUUCGAUUGCCUUUGUGUUUGUGUGUACAAAUUAUUUUGACAGCACUGGCCUUCAUAUUUUGUUUUGUUGUGGAUCAGACCAGAUAUAUUUUCAUUUGAGACCAUUGAAAGCAUAAAUAUUGCUUUCAAUCCGAACGAUCAUCAAUUUUCUAAGCGACAUGAUCAGCUUGAAAGAGAAUUAGAUCAAAUUAUCGAAGAGGAUUGGAGAAUUUUGGGCCUACUUUGUAUGAGGCCGGUGGUGCUGAAAGUUUCUCUUGUCCGCUUAUACACUUCGAUACUGCUGCUUCUAAUACAACUAACGUUGGUGGCGGAAAUACAGAUUACAACAGUUUGGUACAUUGCGAUGGUCGUGUUCAUGUAACCCCGACUCUAAACGCUUAGCAAUUGUCGCGUUUGCGAACGCGAAUCAGAAAAAUUUUGUGAAACUCCAUAUAAAAAAAAUUGUGAAAAGUCGCUAUACGUGUAUUUUCAGCGAAAAAUCGCGAUUCGAAGCGCGACUUGACGCCAUGACAGUUUUCUGUAAAACAAGGUAAACAUGGCAAUACCAAGAUAAACUAAUACAAAUUAAAAAAUUAAAUAUUUUGAGUGUUAUUAAAUAUUGUAAAUUAAAUUAACAAAUCGAGUGCUAUUUAUUUUUUAAAAGUACGCAGGAUUUGUAUAUAAUUAUUGUGAAUGUCAAUAUUAUUUUUAAAACAGAAGAAUCGUUGUUAAUUCAAAACAAAAAUCCCAUAUCGUGGACAAAUGCUUCAGAAAUUAGAAGAAGAAGAAGACAAAUGCAUGGCUGCAUUGUUUAUGAAUUUAUUACUUGUAUGUUGAACUUGCUUGAACAAUAAAAAUUAAUUAAUAAUUAAUUAGUAAUUAAUUAAAUUAAUUAAUUAGCAAAAAUAUUAGAGUUAAAAAAAAUAGAGUUAAAAAAUAUUAGAUAGUCCACAGCACAGUGUUCGAUCCCUUUUGGAAGCUGUGUUGUGGAAUCGUGGUUAUGAAUACCUGUAUAUUGAUGGUAGUUUGGAAGCUGUGUUGGAAUCGUGGUUAUGAAAACCUGUAUAUUGAGGGUACGGUGACGGUCAUGAAAUGAGAAAAAAGCCAUACACGUUUGAUUACCCGUAUUCGAAGAUUUUUACCUUCAUGCUACUCGAAGCUGCCGAUCCCAAUUCUAUUUUGCCCGGUGUAUGACACGGUAGGCAAACACAUCUUCGUUCACCUAUUUAUCUUGUUACAAUUCUUUCUGGCUACCGGAAAAAAUUAUAACAAGAUUUUCCAGCGUUAAACACACAAGAAAACAAAACGGACCAAUCUGCGGUACUGUUAGCAACAGCCGUUAUUUGUAUCACAGGAGUUAGCAGCAUCCUGCCACGAGCUUUCUUGAUGGUCCAUUGUUUUGAAACAUCGUCACUGGGGUUAAAAAACUUGCCUUUCUCAUCAACUUCAUCAAAACAAUAAAUUUACUAUUUAUUAUAAUUUUCUU